rfam:Micromonospora rosaria strain DSM 803 contig101, whole genome shotgun sequence.
GUUGCGAUCCCUUCAGGGGUGAUGAGCGAC